AGAUUCAUUGCAUAGAAUGGCACAGAACUGGAGAGCAGUGCCUUGAUGCUGUACUCAUGUGGUGUGGCACUUGCCAUGGAAGUACAAGGUCCAAAUGUUGAAGAUCUGAAGCAAGUUGGUGUGAAGACAGCUCUUACAGUUGAAAUGCACCCCCUCCCCCCUUCCACAGCACAGCUGUCAUAUGGAAAUAUUAUUCCUCAAGGCUGUUUAUUAUUCCUUAGUAAAAUUGAAACGCCAGUA